AAGUUGGGGAGUAGCAUGGCUCAAGCUGUCGGUUGGUUCAUCGCGCGUAAUGUUUCAUAUCUAUGGGCCGUGUGUAAGGUAUUUAGGUAUCCGAGGUAACGGCUUCCAAGUUCACAAGUUCCUCAGGUGUAAUGUGGAGGUGUUCAAGUUCUUGAGAUGCAGGUGUGUACUUACCGUCUUCAGAAAGGAGAUGAGAGGUUUCUGUUCAAAAGGUCAAGCAGAAAGACGUGUGUGGAGAAAGCAGUGCAAUGUUCAUUUGUGGGUUAGGCUGAAAUAUGUCAAAUUGAUGGUCGCACAAGCAUUUCAAUCAUAUCUGCUCGAUAUUCGAUAAUGUUGUCCUCUAUUCCCUGCGCAACCAAAGCACGAGCCAUUGUUCCCUCUCAACUCUCACGGGCAAAACUGGAAAGUUGGGGAGUAGCAUGGUUAAAGCUGUCGGUUGGUUCAUCGCGUGUAAUGUUUCAUAUCUAUGGGCUGUUUAUGAGGUAUUUAGGCAUCAAGGAUAACGGCUUCCAAGUUCAAAAGUUCCUCAGGUGUAAUGUGGAGGUGUUCAAAGUUCUUGAGAUGCAGGUGUGUCCUCGCGGUCUACAGAAAGAUGAUGAGAGGUUUCUGUUCAAGAGGACAAGCAGAUGAACGUGUGUGGAGAAAGCAGUGCAAUAUUCAGUUGUGGGUGAGGCUUAAAUAUGUCAAAUUGAUGAUCGCACAAGCAAUUCAAUAAAUUCAGGUCGAUAC